rnacentral:rRNA from 1 species
UACGUAGGGGGCAAGCGUUGUCCGGAUUUACUGGGCGUAAAGCGCGCGUAGGCGGCACGUUAAGUCCGGUCUGAAAGCCCCCGGCUCAACCGGGGAGGGUGGCUGGAAACUGGCGUUCUUGAGGGCGAGAGAGGAGGGUGGAAUUCCUGGUGUAGCGGUGAAAUGCGUAGAGAUCAGGAGGAACACCCGGGGCGAAGGCGGCCCUCUGGCUCGACCCUGACGCUGAGGCGCGAAAGCGUGGGGAGCGAACGGG